rnacentral:tRNA from 1 species
GGACAGGUAGCUCAGCUGGUAGAGCACAGCACUGAAAAUGCUGGGGUCACCGGUUCAACCCCGGUCCUGUCCACCA